rnacentral:rRNA from 1 species
AAGCUCGUAGUUGGAUUUCGGGGCUCCUUAUGUAAUAGUCAUGCGGUGGACACUUGCUUGUUGCUUUAGGGGGGUGUUUUUUUGGGGCAACCCGAGGACACCACCCGGCGGCAGGGGAAAGGCCACUGCGGGCGGGGCCCAUUUAUAUUUCUCGAAGACGUCACGGGCCCUUAACUGGUGUACUGUGGUCGCGGAUUCGAGACGUUUACUCUGAAAAAAUUAGAGUGUUCAAAGCAGGCAAUCAAAAACGCUUGAAUACAUUAGCAUGGAAUAAUGGAAUAGGACUUUGGUCUUAUUUUGUUGGUUUCUAGGACUGAAGUAAUGAUUAAUAGGGACAGUUGGGGGCAUUCGUAUUUAAUUGUCAGAGGUGAAAUUCUUGGAUUUAUGAAAGACGAACUUCUGCGAAAGCAUUUGCCAAGGAUGUUUUCAUUAAUCAAGAACGAAAGUUAGGGGAUCGAAGACGAUUAGAUACCGUCGUAGUCCUAACCAUAAACUAUGCCGACUAGGGAUCAGUGGGGAACAAAUCAAAAAACUCCAUUGGCACCUUAUGAGAAAUCAAAGUUUUUGGGUUCUGGGGAGAGUACCAACGCAAGUUGGAAACUUAAAGGAAUUGACGGAAGGGCACACCAGGCGUGGAAUCUGCGGCUUAAUUUGACUCAACACGGGGAAACUCACCAGGUCCAGACAAAAUAAGGAUUGACAGAUUGAGAGCUCUUUCUUGAUUUUUUGGGCAGUGGUGCAUGGCCGUUCUUAGUUGGUGGAGCGAUCUGUCUGGUUAAUUCCGAUAACGAACGAGACCUUAACCUGCUAAAUAGCGACGUCAUUCCUUGUGAAGGACGGAUUUUGACUUCUUAGAGGGACUAUCGGUGACUAACCGAUGGAAGUUUGAGGCAAUAACAGGUCUGUGAUGCCCUUAGAUGUUCUGGGCCGCACGCGCGUUACACUGACAGAGGCAGCGAGUUUUUUUAAAUAUCCUGGCCUGGAAAGGUUUGGGUAAUCUUGUGAAUCUCUGUCGUGAUGGGGAUAGAUCUUUGUAAUUAUCGAUCUUCAACGAGGAAUGCCUUGUAAUCGCGGUUCGUCAAAUCGCGUUGACUACGUCCCUGCCCUUUGUACACACCGCCCGUCGCUACUACCGAUUGAAUGGUUUAGUGAGGUCUCGGGACUGGCGCGGCUUGGCUGUAAAAGGCCGAUCCAUGCUGGGAACUUGCCCAAACUUGAUCAUUUAGAGGAAGUAAAAGUC